CAGGGAUUGCCCUAGUAACGGCGAGUGAAGCGGCAACAGCUCAAAUUUGAAAACUAGGCCUCGGCCCGAGUUGUAAUUUGCAGAGGAUGCUUCUGGCGCGGUGCCUUCCGAGUUCCCUGGAACGGGACGCCACAGAGGGUGAGAGCCCCGUAUGGUCGGACACCAAGCCUGUGUGAAGCUCCUUCGACGAGUCGAGUAGUUUGGGAAUGCUGCUCUAAAUGGGAGGUAAAUCUCUUCUAAAGCUAAAUACCGGCCAGAGACCGAUAGCGCACAAGUAGAGUGAUCGAAAGAUGAAAAGCACCUUGAAAAGGGGGUUAAAUAGUACGUGAAAUUGUUGAAAGGGAAGCACUUAUGACCAGACUUGGGCCGGGCGGCUCAUCAGGGGUUCUCCCCUGUGCACUCCGCCCGGCACAGGCCAGCAUCGGUUCUCGUGGGGGGAUAAGACCGUCAGGAACGUAGCACCCUCCGGGGUGUGUUAUAGCCUGGCGGACGAUACCCCCGUGGGGACCGAGGUCCGCGCUCCGCAAGGAUGCUGGCGUAAUGGUCAUCAGUGACCCGUCUUGAAACACGGACCAAGGAGUCGUCCAUUAGAGCGAGCGUUUGGGUGUAAAACCCGCACGCGUAAUGAAAGUGAACGCAGGUGAGAGCUUCGGCGCAUCAUCGACCGAUCCUGAUGUUCUCGGAAGGAUUUGAGUAAGAGUUUUAACGGACGGACCCGAAAGACAGUGAACUAUGCUUGUAUAGGGUGAAGCCAGAGGAAACUCUGGUGGAGGCNNNNNNNNNUUCUGACGUGCAAAUCGAUCGUCAAAUAUGAGCAUGGGGGCGAAAGACUAAU
rnacentral:rRNA from 1 species